CCUAGAUUCCCGAAAUUGAGGCAAGACAACAUCACCCCGGGGUGGCGUGAUCCAGGAAGGAAUCAAAUCUCCAUGGAUUUUCCAUGGAUUUGAGGAUCAUACCUUCGAUGACCCAUCCGCAUAAUCCUAGGAUUCAUCUUCGAAUGAUGCAUCUGGAUUUUUGCGAGCGGUUCAGAUCCAGCACGUGCGAACUUCAUCCUCUCGAAGCCCUUGUGCUUGUCGCUGCCGGCGGGAGGAAUCGCCACGGCGGCGGCGGGAGGUGGGGCGUCCAGCUCCAUGGGCCCCGGUCCCGGCGGCGCCUCCAAGGUGGGGAGCGGCGGCGCCUCCAAGGUGGGCGGCCUUCAGACGGGAGGAACCGUCGUCGUCCUCUUCGUCCCCUUAUACAUACCCUCACUCCUUAUCCUCCGUCGCGGGUUCGUACGGUGCCCGUUCUGCUGCCGCGACCCUUUCUCCGAGUGGGCCAUGUACCUCAUUGUCGAUGCGCCAUGGACGCCAAGAUGCUUCUACAGGAAGCCCAAGAUUAUCCAGCACAUAUUGUGUUGAAAUGAACGAACACACGGCAUCCAUAUCACCACUGCCACACAAUGACAUAGUUUAAGUCAUGUUCUUAUGAUGUAACCCACCGAGUUAGGUAUUUUGGCACACAUAAAUCUGAACAUAUUUACCUGUACAGCCAUAUUCUUGUGCCACUUGAAAUGAGUUUCUUUAUUGAUGGUAGCAUUGUCACUGGUGAAUCUUUCCAAUUAUCAAAUACACGCUGACUGCUUGAAGGAAACAUAGAAAUUAAUUAUAAACAUGCUGUACUGUUGACUUUCCCCUGUGCCAAUUGCUAUUCUAGUAAGAUGUUUACUUGAGGCUGAACAAGUUCUCAACAAUUAGUUUUAUACAUGAAUGAGUAUGCGACAUGCACUAGGGUCAUCCCUAGACCCUAAAUUAUGUGGUCAAGGGGAGGAAACUAUUAACCAUUUGCUCCCCUCUUGCAUUUUUGCAAGAGUUUUUUGGUUCAAGAUUUUUAGGCUCUACAGAUUGCACCCCAUUGCCCCUAAACCUGAAGACAGCUCCUUCUUAUGUUGGUGGGCACAAGUUGAAGAACAGAGGGGUUGACUAGAAGGGGUUUCAAUCCUCUAGUCAUACUAGGUUCUUGGACUAUCAAGAAAAUGCGCAAUGGAUGUGUUUUUGAGGGCCUUUCACCUUCUAUGUCUGUUGUUUUUUUCUCUCGUUUUUGUGAAGAGAGGGAUUUGUGGCUGAUGGCUGGUGCCAAAUGUCUUUUGUUCCUGUCAGCUAGUGUUGGUAGGUAGUGUUUUUAUGGAUCCUUUUUUGUAUUCUAAGUUUUGGCCACCAUGAGCUGGUCCUAGAGUUAAGGUCAUAGGUCUAUUUGAGACUGUACUGUUUCUUCUUAUUCUAAUGAAAUGCAGCUGUCAUGCGUUUUCAAGAAAAAAAUAUUCGCACUUGAUAGAAACCAUCAAGGGUGAAUGGACAUACAUGAAUUUCACUAUUUCAGUGCAUACUCAAUUGUGUAGAUAUGCAGUGCAUGUGAGCCAUGCCCCUAGGGACGCCUUUGGGUUAAAUGUCCUAUUGUUUCAAAUAAUUGACUGCUGGUUGGUCAGAAUAUAGGCUUGAGAAUACAAGGGUUUGUGCUUUAAGGGUUCUUGCGCCCUUUUCUUUUUAAUACAAAGUUUACAAACUACAAAGAUACACAGCUCUCCAACGUGUUUGAAAAAACAAAGAAUAUAAGCUUGAGAAUCAUUUGGCACUGUUGCCCUUUUAGUGUUGACUUACUAAUACCUCUUGGCAUACACAUUUUGUGUUAAUGGAAUAAUUAUCAGGAACUGUGGUUCACAUACUCUUUGAUGGUUGACUGGAAGAGCCUGUUGAUACCUUUUUAGAAUUAAUGCUAUUGAGAAGUGAGUGUUGAAAGAUAUAUAAAUAUUCUGUAUAUAAGAAAUUCUUUGUACAUAAAACACUUACCUUUUCAGAUUGCUUUAGGAAACCAACAAUAGAUUGCUAAUUGGGUCACACAAGAGGUAUGGUCUAACGGUGGACAUAAAUUGGAGGGAAAAUUUGAUAUUCAGAUAUUCAAUCCACAUACCUACAGUCCAUCCAUGGAUAGCCUAACCCUGUUGUGUUUGCAUGGAGUGCCCUUUGGACCUCAGGAUUGUUUAGGUAAGAGGAGACAUAGUGGUUUGUGCAUGGAUCACCAAACAGUAACUGAAAUAGUAAACAAAAGUUUGAGUAUACCAAAAAUUCAUAUAGAAAUGCAAGUUAAAACACUUAAUCUGUGAAGUGAAAUUUAUGUCUGGUGUUGUAUACCGAGUCACUUGAUUUAGAAGCAUUUGAGGCAUCAUGGCAUAUUGGUGCAUAGAUGUCAUAAUCAUCAACAUUUCCUUUUUCACGGGUAGCUAAGUUCAUGGCAUUUAGGCAAUCUUUAGUGUAUGUCCCAUUAAAGCUGCACUUAUCCUUGAUGGCUGUAUAAGCUUUUCCAGAAAUCAUAGCAUGCAUCCAAUAGUAGUCAUAUGAUGCUCUUAGAGUCAAAUUAUCAUCCAAGUCCGCAUUUCCAAUCUGAUGAAGUUUACAGUGUUACCAUUGAUGAGAAAUUUACCGAAUUAUAAGUUUCAAAUCAGUUAAGACUGAAAACUUACCGCAACACCUUUAAGUUUGAUAUUAGUGACAUUGGUGGCUCUGUUCUUAGAAACAAUCAGAUUAGCAAGCUCUGGUAUAUAGUGACCUGCGUAGCUCUCACCAGUUAUGAAGAAAUCACGGUUCCGAUACUCAGGAAAUUUCUCUAGCCAAGUAACAAGAAACGUAUAUGCAUCAUCUGUUGUUCUUUGGUCACCAGUGUUAUAAUAAUCAGAUGUAGUGUUUGAAUAUGAGUAUCCAACACCAGCUGGGAUCUCAAUGAACAACAUGUUGGCCACUGCAUUCGUGAAUGAACAAUGGAAUAUCAGUAUGGGUGUUAAUCCAACAUUCCAACUAACUUUAUUUACUCCCUUCGUUUGAAACUAGUUUACUCUAGUUUUGUCCUAAGCUUUAACUUCGACCAUGUUUAUAGAAAAAAUGUAUCGACAAUUCGACAUCUAUAGUAUUGAUUAGUUUUUAAAUUCCCAUGAAAUAUGUCUUGGUAGUGUAUUUAUUUGAACUUUUAGAUUUUACUAAGUUUUUUCUAAAAACUUGAUCAAAGUUAGAACAAAGCUAAACUGAACUAUAAUUUGGAGUGGAGGAAGUAACUAUUAAUCAAGUGAAGUUUAAAUCGGAUUUUACCUCUGUUCCAUGCAUGCCUUCUCUUGUACAGUGUCUUGUUGUCACUAUGGACAGAGAAAGGUCCAAGUUCAAGCAUGGCCCCAGAUCCAAAGGAUGAACAGCCAGGCCCUGCGGAUACAGUAAGUGUUUCAUCUUAUUCUUUUCAAACUAGGUGUCUUGCUGUAGCAUUGCAAACAUGGAUGAUGUAUGUUCGAGAAUUAUGUACAUGUUUUUUUCCAGUUGUUUGUUGACCCUCAUUAUAGCAAGCAAAUAGAUCUAAAAAGAAUUAUAACAGCAUGUUGAAGAAAUAACUUUACAAGACAUAUGAACUGCCCCUGUUUAUGCAGUAAAGUUUUCUACAAAUUGCGAUGAACACAGCCAGCACAUACCUCCAUUCAGCCAUAGGACAAGCGGUUUGUCUGAAGGAUCUUGAAGAGCCUCAACAAAAUAGUAGAACAAAGCCCUUCCAGCCUUUGCAUCCACCGUCACAUAUCCUGCAUAUUGGUCAAACUCUGCUACCACUGUUUGCCCUGGCAUACAUAUGAUCUUAUCCUGCUCCCGUUGAUUGUUUGUUGAGUCUCUAUGCACUGAGGGACUGGUUCCAGUCUUGAGAGUUGAAUGUUGUUUUCCUUGAACAGAUUUCCUGUAUAUUUUCAGUUGAUUGAACUCAAGAGGCUGGUUGGCCUGGUCUCUAGUGUCUGUGUUUGCAACACUGAAGUAGAACAAGGACCAAAGUAUCAGGAGGCCUCUUUUCAUCUUGAUAGGAUGCGUGUGCAUGGGUGUUUGGUGUCUUGGGCUAGGUUGCCAUUGGUCAAUCUUUAUUUAUAGAGGGGACAUUCUGUUUGCAGUACCAUUGAAGAGUCCUCCAAGGAAACCAUAAUAUGAUUGAUUCUUUGACUUUCUCUGUGCAAGUUGGACUUAAAGCUCUUAAUAUUCCAUUUCAUUUGGCAUCUAUAUUUGUAAUGGCAAUGACAUUCAUUUAAAAUUCUUAGUUCCUUUUGGGGAUUGCAACCUAACAAAGUCAGCAAAAUUCCUAGAUUAAGUGCACUUGUGUGUACAAUAGCUAUCUCUGGCUCAAUUUAUCACUAUAUGGGAAAGAGAAGGAAAAUGUAUGCAAAUAAAAAAAAACCUUGACCUGUGAGGGGUAAGAGUAAGACAGGCUCUAGACAUUACAUUAACGGGGCGUUUGGAUCCCUUCAUUUUAAAGGAAUUGGAAUUCACUCAAUAAAGUAACUUAUUUAGUUUAGAAUUUGGCAUUCCACCACUUUCCAAAGUUUAGAUAUAAGCCUAUCUAAAAUUCAUAGGGUGGAGGAUAGGAAAUGAUUUUAUGCAUUAUUAGAAUUUGUUUCUAAUCUGUAACUUACAUGACACUCUUUGUUCUACUCCUCUAUAAUAAAAAUGUAUCACAUAAAUAUAUAGGACAUCUUGCUAAUAAUAGUAUACAAAUAUAUUUUGUAUAAAAGUGAAUUAGCUUAAUUGAUAUAUGCCUAAAUUACUAUUAUUAAAAUGGAAAUCAAUUCCAGUGAUCCAAACGGGGCGUAAGAAGAAGACCUCACGCAGAUUGAGAAAAUCAGAUUGAGGGUGCCUCAUCCUUGGCAACAUUGAUUAAGUGCACUUGUGUAUUUUGAUCUUUUGGCUUUAUUUUGUUACAUCCUCUUAAGCUUCUUGUUUACUCAGUUGUUUUCUGCCAACAUUCCCAGGCAUGUUUACUUUGAUGUGUUUUCCUUAUGUGUUUCGUAGUCCAAACAAAGGGGUUGUACUUGUGUCUGUUGCUUCUUCUGCCUGCUUUUUAACAGGAGUGCUGUAAACUGUAAAAUCACAUUUGAAGAUAUAUUUUUUUGAUAAUCCAGGGAUCCCUGAGAGCUGGGUGAGGUUAUUAUCCUAGAGAAAUUUGUUGUUUUCUAGUUUCUGUGUGGUUUGACUUGUUAUUCUAUUAAAUUCAGGUUCUACUUUUGUUGAUAAAAAGCUGUGGAAUUUUAUUAGGAUUCAUAAUUCUUUUGUACUCCUGGUUUCAAUUGGUUUAGCUGAAGCUAAACACAAUGAUGUUGCAACAAAUUGCUAAGUCAAGUAAACAUGUUGAUACUUGUUACUCAGAGGUGACUUGUUGAUAGCAUAUGGCCAGCACCAUUCACUGUAUUGAAGCAUCGGUAGUUGAGAUCUUGUCAUUUCCACUUCAUUGAACUUAAAUGUUGCUUCCUUCUCAUAUAUAUCUUUGAAAGAAUUAUUUGAUCGACCUUCCAAGUAUGUGCACACAUUCCAUUUUGUUCUUGUGGUGUGGCUUUCAAGCAACAUGCCCUUUCAUCUGAAACUUUCCUGCAGAAAAGGAAGAUUCCAAACUUGAGCCGUGAGUAUAGAACAGCUAUUUUCACCAAACUGCCACCGCCUGUUGACAAUAGCACAUCUUCUUCAGGAAAAGGGAACCUGAAAAAUAAGAUGUUUUAGGAAAGGGAUACUCUCGUGGUGUCAUUUUUCUUUCUGGUUGUGUCCAAAUUCAUAACAUUGCUAUGUUGUCUUUGAAUAGACCAUCUCUUAGCUUAAAUCCAUUUGGGCAUCAUAUUGUGUUGGUGCAUUUCAAUCUUUAUUUGUUUUUUCUUUCCAGUUGGUGGUCAUGCACUAAGUGGACCCACUCUUUUUUGGAGUUAGAGUUGAAAAACGAGUUAAUGGGACAGGAAGAAUCAACUUUAGAAGGGAAUCCCACUUUCUAGUAGUGCGCAUAUGCAAAAAUACCUUCCAAGACAACACAUAUUGUCAAGCAAGUGGAAGUAAGAUAUAAAUAGAGCAAGGCUACCAAGGCAGCAAGGAAAAUUCCCCCCCUGUUGGUAUUCUGGUCCCUUAUGAGUUCAUAUGCUUACAAUUACGAAUAAAGAAGAACUCUAGUCAAGUUUAACUCUGCCAAAAAAAAAACUCUAUGAAAAUCAUCCUCCAGUGGCCAUGCAAAAAGGAUUCCCCGACACCAAUAGGGACAAAGUCAACUAUGCCUUCUUUUGUCCAUUUGACUUAUGUAGGUUGCAGAUUGGGAAGGAACCUGCUCUUUUCUUGAGCAAACCAAGGCGACCUUUGUGUGUUUGAUCCACCUUAAAUUUGAGGAGGGUGUUAGAUGCAUGCCUAUGGAUAUGUAUCUUUGUUGUACGCGGUUUAUCCUGCAACGGUGUAUAUAUUCGUGUCUGCUGAAGUGUAUAAGUGGAUUGACUAACUUCUCCCAACAACUUAAGCUUUUGGGUUGAACUGGUUAGUGUGUCCACUCUAACAUGGUAUCAAAGUCAGAGGUUUUGAGUUCGAAUUUUGACAGAGGCUUAGUUUGUGCCUCCGUCCUUUUAUUUCCACGUUUGCGGCUUUCUAUUUGACUGCACGUGAGUGGGAUGUUGAAGUGUAUAAGUGAAUUGUCUACCUUCUUCUAACAGUUUAAGCUUUUGAGUUUAACUGGUUAGUGCAUCCACUCUCCACCCUAACAGUGUCUAAUGCCCUUGUAUUGAAUACAUGUACUUUUUUUAGAUUGUGUCAUCCAUAAACAUCAUUUCUUUUGAAUUGAAGGGAAUAUUUAGAUUAUGCCGGUAAUGUUGUUUAAUGAUAAUUGUACAUUUUAGCUACUUUCUCAUCCUUGAUAAAGUCUGCAGUUCAUCCAACUAAAAUGGAUUGGAACCACACGAGAAACAUUCACAAACGUACACCUUCCACUAUAUCCUGGAAGCACAAUUUUGUUGUUUUUAGUGAAACGCGAAACGUCUAAGAAUCAUGAGUUAUAAGAAGUCUGUAUCUGCCACAAAAAAUGCAACCAUCUCGAUACAAGUAUUUCAUCAGAACUGUUUAGGUUGGACUUUUUGUAGAAAUUGGAUGAUUCAGAACACAAUGUUGGUUCUUUGUAAUAAUCUCAACAGAAGCAAGUACACUAUCACUAUGCUUCUGUUUUUUUUUCUGACAAACAAUAGUCUAUCUUUCAUCGUUAGAAACCACAAAAGAGUAGAUGCUUGUAAAGUUUCAAUCACUCAGGAGGCAGUUUGCCAUUCAGGAAUGCCGAGAACAGGCUGAGCGCUCUUUGGGGUUGGUAGGUAGGAACCAUAUGUCCAGCUCCCCGGACUGUUGCAAAUAUCAGACCUUUGUACUCAACAACAUAGCCUCCAACCUGCCAUCUCAUAAAGAAACAACUUCAGAAUCUUAUAUGGCAAUAAAUUGUUAUACUAUAUCGUUUAGUUUGUCCAUACCUCACCAUCAUCAGAAUACCAUGCCCGCCAUGAUGAAUUUAUCUUCAGCCCCAGGAUGUCUAAUGAAUACAGCGUUGAAGUUACUGGGCAAACGGCAUCAAUGUCACCACUGAAAGAUAAAAUAUAUCAUUUCUUAGUAGGGUGGUUUAAGCAGAUAUAGAGAUUAAAUAAACAUUAGAGCGUGUUUGCAUGAAUGGAAUUGCUUCAGUUUUAUUUUUUGGAUUUCAAUCAAAGUUGGACCGAUCCUAAGGAUUUCGACCAAAUGACCUGUAUCCAAACAGGCACUUCAUAAUGCUUGUGGACUUACCUAUACAGCAAUGUGUUAACUCCACUUGAAAUUAAUUGUUGAAUAGAUGGUAACAUAGAGACUUGGUCAUUUCCAGUUAUAUAUAUAAAGAACAGGAACAGGAACAAAGCAGAGAAGAAACCCAGAAAAGGAAAAAAAGCAAAACAAAAGGGAAGCUAAGAAGACAAACAAGAUGGAACUUAGCCAUUCACUAAUAACAGGGAGAUAACUCUUCUUUGAUGAUGCAUAAAUCCAUGCUUAAACUUUAAUGCUUGUGGAUUUACCUAUACAGCCAUGUGCUAACUCCACUUGAAAUUAAUUGCUGAAUAGAUGGUAGCAUAGAGACUUGGGCAUCUUUCCAAUUUUCGGGAGAAAUGAUAUUACUGGUGCUCAGAAAGAAUACAUAACUUGGUUAACUGAUUUAAGGCUGAGUUUUAUUAAGAAAUACUUGCAAGAACAUCAGCUACGUUUGUUUCACCUGCAAUCCGACCAUGGUUGCUUCAAUCUUGUGGUGUUAGCAUGAAGUGCUCUCUGCACCUCUUGGCGGUUCAGAUAUGACCGCAUAUAGUAACUGGCACAGGGGUCAUUGUUGGUUACCUGCAACACUAUACUGUGAGUUAUGGAGAUGUUGAACUUGUUUAAAAUCUGUGAGAACAUUUAUACCGAGGCAUGCUGCUUUUGGGGAUCAGAAGCAUUCCAGCAGAACGGUGCAUAGAUGUUGGAUUCAUCGAUGAGGCCCUUCUCAUUGUUGGCUUCUUCUAUCGCGGUUCUACAGAGUCCUGUGUAUGUUCCAUUAAAGCCGCAAUUUUCCUGGACUGCAGUGUGAGUUUCUUUGGAGAUCAUAGCAUGUGUCCAGUAGUAAUCGAUGAUUGCUCUUGUGUUUGUGUCAUCAUCCAGGUAUGCAUUCCCAAUCUGUUCCAACAAGUAAAUGCCAGAAGCCCAGAAUGUAAUAUGAAUAGUGUUGGCGAGCUGUGGUAUGUAGUGUCCGCCAUAACUUUCACCCGUUAAAAAGAAGCUGUGGCCCUUGUACUCUGGGAACCUCUCAAGCCAAUUGACGAGGAAAGUAUAUGCAUCUGCUGCAGUGCUCCUGUCACCAGUGUUGUUGUAAUCUGAUGUUCUGUUCGAGUAUGAGAAGCCAACACCAGCAGGGCUCUCAAGGAAGAGCAUGUUUGCCACUGCCAUCAAGAAAUUAUCAGUCAACACGGAGUGUCUUGUUAUCUCUGUUGACGAAGAAUGGCCCAAUUUCAUGCAUAGCUCCUCCCAGAGAAGAGCAACCGGGCCCUGAAAUUUCACGGUAACCUUUUUUUUAAUUGUAAAGAAUGUCCCACGAUAAAAUUGUCAGCCAUAUGGUUUUUUCAGGGACAUAUCUGCUAAAUUUGCUAACGGAAGGGUAACUUGUGAUUACUUAAGACCAGCAGCCUAGGAGCCCAAGUAUGAAAUAUACAUACUAAUGGAGUAACUCUUAGCAUUUAGUGUGACAGAUCUGUUACAGAUAAAACACUCUGUUAUCCAAUUAGGAAGAAUAAUCCUCAACCUUCCACUUUAGGCAAGCAGCACAGGAACAUGUCCUGGAUGUCUUAGCGUUUACUAAAAACAUAAAGCAGACUGAAAGGGAUGCUAGGGAGAGUGCCACCAGGACCAGAUCAAGUUUAGAUGGACAGAUAUUUGGUUGCCUUAGCUUUAGAAAGAUUUCAUCCACUUUGCACUCCCACUCGUUGUGCGGUUAUCUUUUCUCCUACCUGAUGCCUCUGCCAUCUCUCUGAGCCACCGUUGGAGAUCUCACAAUAUUAUCUCCUCUCUAUGUUCUAAUCUUGCAUGUUUCCUGAUUACCUUCCUCCUUUCCUCUGCUUUUCUAUUGUCGUUGUUCCCUUUCAUGUCGCUGGAAGGGAAACUGUAUGUAAUCAAAAGAAAAUUUUGACAAAUCUUCACCGUUUUUUGGUAUGCUUAUUUUUCUUCAACAGAGGCAAGAUGUUAAAAAUAUCAUAGAUUUGCCUACCUUAUUAUACUGAAAUGUUUACAUCGUUUUCUCACUGAUUCAAGUUCAUAAUUUGAUUAAUUGGAAGCUUCUAUGGUUGAGUAGUUGAGAUGUUGAUAACUGUUCAUCAGGCUUGGUACUAGGAACUGUCAAAUUUUACCCUGGACACAGCCUGCCUUGAUAACUUCCUUUUGAUCAAGCUUCUGUUGUAUCAUUUCCUAGAUAUUAAAGGAUUAUAGUUCAUCUGUACUAGUAUUCUUGAACUAUUUAAAAUACCUUUUAUCCUCUCCAUUUAAUUGCCAUGCCGCAUUAUCCUUAUCAGUGAUAUUCAGAUGAUGAAAAUUAUGUUCCAAUAUAUUUGUGCAAUUCUGUUAUCAGAAAACAGGAAAAUAAAGAAGAUGCUUAUGAUUGAACAAUGGCCUGAGUUUAUGCAAGGAUUGAAAAUCAGGCAUUGCACAAUACAGAACUUCAAUGAAGGUUAUGGGUUGUUGAUACUCUGGUACCAAAUUAGUCAUAUACGUACUAUAUCAUUUAAGAUUUUACUGGUUGGGAGUCAGGAGAGUCUAAAAUGUAAAGCCUGUUGUGGGGUCUACAAAGUAUGUACUUAGGUCAGUUGGCCUAACAAUCUGUAGAAUUGUGCCCUGUUUAUAUAAGCAAAUAAUAGCCAGCUCCUUUUCCACUUCAACACACUAAGGCUGAUAGUAGGUAUGGACUAUCAGCUUCCGUUUUCCUUUCCGUCCCUCUUGGGCAAGCAACUAAUGCAAUCAACAAUAAAUUCUUCCAAUAAAUGACUGUGGAUGUUUUGUAUUUGCUAGGACACUAGCAGGAGAGAGAGAAAAAAAAACUAGUAUCUGGUGCUGAUCUGUAGUAAGUUCCAACUGUUUUUCAGUUUUGAACCAUGAAACCAUGCUUGUAUCAAAUGGAUGGUCAGGGCAACUAUGUUCCCAUCCCUUUUUGGUAGACUAACAAGAUCAAAUAAAACAGCAGGCAAGCAGAGUAUAGAAGCGCACUUGUGUGAUGGUUAGUAGGCUCCUUACCUCCAUUGAGCCACAGGACCAAUGGCUUGGUAGAUGGAUCUUCAGCAGCAGCCUCUACGAAGUAGUAAAAGAGGGCCUUUCCAGACGUCUCAUCGACCGUGACAUAGCCGGCAUACUGAUCAAAGGUGGCCUUCCCCGGCUGCCCAGGAAGCUCACUGAUCUUGUCAGCCUUCUUCAGCCCAUCUUGCAGACCCACAUAAACUGGCUGAUCCAUGCUCCACAUUUCACUGUCUAGACUGUCAUGUCGCAUUUCCAUUCUUGACCUUGAGAACUCCUGCAACCGGCCAGCCUCAUCAGCAAGCGACGUUUGUGUGAGCACUAGGCAGAGCAAGUGGAUGACAAAUGCAUCUCUUCUGAUCUUGGAGACCAGAGGAGAACGCCUGUGGCGAGGAUUUUGCAUGUUCUGGUGGUGCUGUUUGUCUGGCCUACUCUGGGUGGGUUUCGAGGUUCCUUAUAUAUGAUAUCUAUCUCGCUGGGUUCUUUGAUUAGAAAUGGACGACAAAUGCAUCUCUUCUGAUUUCGCAUCGUUCAAGCAAGAUGAAGUGACCAUGUAUAGCGAUUGAAAUGGCCGGAAUCUGUAUCGUCAAUUAAAGAGCACAUGAACCAGAAGAGCGAUUGGCCUUGCAUCAGCGUCAGGUAUCUUGUUCCAUUCUUUUCUCCCGCUCGGUCUGGCAUCACAGGUUCCAAGAGGCAUCCAUUCGUGCUGCUAUUAUUAUAGGAUAAAAAAUAGAAAGAUACUUCAUGCUGCGUGACCCGAAUACGUAUUUUCCAGCUUUAUUGUCCGAUGGGGUCUACAUAACAGUGCACUUGUUCUGUACAUGGUUCAUCUUUCUGAGUGCACGGUGACUGUUAUUCUUUUGGCAAGAUGGAUUCUUGCUGAGCGAAGCUCUGCCAGUUGAAAGCGUACAUAAAUAUUCUCGUUCUACGAAGCAGUGCUGUGACGUUAUAAUCUGAACAGUUUUUUGAGAUCUGAGCAGCAAAUUCAGCAACAGCUUGUACCAGGCGUCAAUGGGAUUGGGAAAGGCUUUUUUAAUCGGCCACCGAAUCACGGAUAGCAGGCUAUUGAACUGUUGGUAAGUUGUGGCAUGCUACAUCAGAGAUCUGUCAGUUUCGGAUGCACGUAUCCCGGCCUCUGCCUGCUGGCUGCUGCUACUCAUGUAGGGGAUGUCUGGCCAGCCGGGGAUCACCUCCAAACGUGUGAAUUGUUGAUCCUGAGCUACCUAACCUUUUAGCGGAGACAAAUAGUUUCUUAGGGGUAUUUAGAACUUAUCUAAUUUAUAGAACUAUUGCUAGUUCAUCUAUUCCAAGUUUUACCUCUUUUUGGUUGGAUUUGAAUUGAUUCUGACUUAGAAAUUGAACUGUUGAACUUAUGAACAUGUAAAUCAAAUACUAGUCAAACUAGUUAGUUCGAAUGGUUGUGAUGAUCAUUAAGCACCACAAAUCAAUAUAUAAAAUGGU